GUGCACGCUGGCGGUAGGCCUAACACAUGCAAGUCGCACGGCAGCACAGUAAGAGCUUGCUCUUACGGGUGGCGAGUGGCGGACGGGUGAGGAAUACAUCGGAAUCUACUUUUUCGUGGGGGAUAACGUAGGGAAACUUACGCUAAUACCGCAUACGACCUACGGGUGAAAGCAGGGGAUCUUCGGACCUUGCGCGAUUGAAUGAGCCGAUGUCGGAUUAGCUAGUUGGCGGGGUAAAGGCCCACCAAGGCGACGAUCCGUAGCUGGUCUGAGAGGAUGAUCAGCCACACUGGAACUGAGACACGGUCCAGACUCCUACGGGAGGCAGCAGUGGGGAAUAUUGGACAAUGGGCGCAAGCCUGAUCCAGCCAUACCGCGUGGGUGAAGAAGGCCUUCUGGUUGUAAAGCCCUUUUGUUGGGAAAGAAAAGCAGCAGGUUAAUACCCCGCUGUUCUGACGGUACCCAAAGAAUAAGCACCGGCUAACUUCGUG
rnacentral:rRNA from 1 species